AUUGAACGCUGGCGGAAUGCUUUACACAUGCAAGUCGAACGGCAGCACGGGAGCUUGCUCCUGGUGGCGAGUGGCGAACGGGUGAGUAAUAUAUCGGAACGUAUCCAAUAAUGGGGGAUAACUAGUCGAAAGAUUAGCUAAUACCGCAUACGCCCUGAGGGGGAAAGCUGGGGAUCUUCGGACCUAGCGUUAAUGGAGCGGCCGAUAUCUGAUUAGCUAGUAGGUGAGGUAAAAGCUCACCUAGGCGACGAUCAGUAGCUGGUCUGAGAGGACGACCAGCCACACUGGAACUGAGACACGGUCCAGACUCCUACGGGAGGCAGCAGUGGGGAAUUUUGGACAAUGGGCGCAAGCCUGAUCCAGCCAUUCCGCGUGAGUGAAGAAGGCCU
rnacentral:rRNA from 1 species